UACGAAGGGUGCAAGCGUUAAUCGGAAUUACUGGGCGUAAAGCGUGCGUAGGCGGUCUUUUAAGUCCGUUGUGAAAGCCCUGGGCUCAACCUGGGAAUGGCAGUGGAUACUGGAAGGCUGGAGUACGGUAGAGGAGGGUGGAACUCCCGGUGUAGCGGUGAAAUGCGUAGAGAUCGGGAGGAACAUCAGUGGCGAAGGCGGCCCUCUGGACCAGUACUGACGCUGAGGCACGAAAGCGUGGGGAGCAAACAGG
rnacentral:rRNA from 1 species